rnacentral:rRNA from 1 species
CAAGUCGAGCGGAACGUAAGGGAGCUUGCUCCCGGAUGUUAGCGGCGGACGGGUGAGUAACACGUGGGUAACCUGCCUGUAAGACUGGGAUAACUCCGGGAAACCGGAGCUAAUACCGGAUAGUUCCUUGAACCGCAUGGUUCAAGGAUGAAAGACGGUUUCGGCUGUCACUUACAGAUGGACCCGCGGCGCAUUAGCUAGUUGGUGAGGUAACGGCUCACCAAGGCGACGAUGCGUAGCCGACCUGAGAGGGUGAUCGGCCACACUGGGACUGAGACACGGCCCAGACUCCUACGGGAGGCAGCAGUAGGGAAUCUUCCGCAAUGGACGAAAGUCUGACGGAGCAACGCCGCGUGAGUGAUGAAGGUUUUCGGAUCGUAAAGCUCUGUUGUUAGGGAAGAACAAGUGCAAGAGUAACUGCUUGCACCUUGACGGUACCUAACCAGAAAGCCACGGGUAAAUACGUGCCCGCAGCCGCGGUAAUACGUAAGUGGCAAGCGUUGUCCGGAAUUAUUGGGCGUAAAGGGCUCGCAGGCGGUUUCUUAAGUCUGAUGUGAAAGCCCCCGGCUCAACCGGGGAGGGUCAUUGGAAACUGGGAAACUUGAGUGCACAAGAAGAGAGUGGAAUUCCACGUGUAGCGGUGAAAUGCGUAAAGAUGUGGAGGAACACCAGUGGCGAAAGCGACUCUCUGGUCUGUAACUGACGCUGAGGAGCGAAAGCGUGGGGAGCGAACAGGAUUAGAUACCCUGGUAGUCCACGCCGUAAACGAUGAGUGCUAAGUGU